AUUGAACGCUAGCGGCAUGCCUUACACAUGCCAGUCGAACGAGUGGCGGACGGGUGAGUAAUAUCUUGGAAACUGCCUUCUUGAGGGGGAUAACUACUGGCAACGGUAGCUAAUCCCGCAUACCCUUCGAUCUGCCCAGAUCGGAUUAGCUGGUUGGGGGGGUAACGGCUCACCAAGGCAUCGAUCCCUAGCUGGUCUGAGGGGAAGACCAGCCACACUGGGACUGAGAAACGGCCCAGACUCCUACGGGAGGCAGCAGUGGGUAAUUUGGAACAAUGGGGGAAAGCCUGAUGCAGCCAUGCCGCGGGUAUGAUGAAGGCCUUCGGGUUGUAAAGUACUUUCAGCGGGGAGGCGUUACCUGCAGAAUAAGCACCGGCUAACUACGUGCCAGCAGCCGCGGUAAUAC
rnacentral:rRNA from 1 species